UCUGCAGGCAGUACAAACAGAACAGAUGCACAGCUCAGUCGCAUGGAAAUUUGUAAAAGUGACCUCUGCAGUGAGGCCUGCUGAGAAGUUUGUUUUGGGAAGGGCUCCUGUGGCUCCCAGCUUUACAGAGCUGUCGUGUACACUCCUGUUAAAAUGCCAGAUAACUGUAAUUCCCUGUGCUUUGCUUUCCUCUACACCCCAGGACAAGAAGGUGGGGUGUUUCCUAGCUCAACAUUUGGUUUUAUUUUCAUUUUAGAAACUCUUUUGCCUCCUGUGCUUGCCAUCCUGCUUCCCUUCAUCCUCUUCCAGAGCCAGGGCUUCUCAGGAGGAUUGUCCUCUUCAUCCCUCCCUGACAAGGUGAGAUGGUGCCAGUGGCCUCCCCAGCUCCUUCUCCAGGGAAGGACGAGCGUUUCAUGUGGUAACAGAGCAAAUCUUACUCUUUGCUGAAUGACUUGGCCUCCAGCCAGGCUUUGACUUCUUCAGUGCUGGAUUCAAAGCAGCUCGUCGUUCAGCUCAUCCAUUUGGUGAAUAAGUUCUGCAGAAACAGGU